UAGCAAACAAACCCCACCCUCCAGCCGACGGACCACAUGUCGACGCCGGUGGAGUAGUGACUCGAGUAGAACUUCCGGCGCUUUGUACUAGAGAGUUACAAUCUCGUGCGCGUAACUCUUGAGAGGUACAGUAAAGGCGCGGCCGAGGCCGAGAUCGGCGAUCUUCAGAAUCCCCAUUUCCUCGUGCAGAAGCAAAUUCUGAGGCUUGAGAUCGCGGUGGAGAACGCCAUGGGAGUGACAGUGAGCCACCCCCUUGCAGAGCUGGUAGAGGAAGCUCUGGACCAUCGACGGUACCAAUGGCCUCGGAUUAGGGCCUUCCUAGUGUGCCACCCCCUUGCGAACGAGCCUAAACGAGCGACUCUUCUUAUCCGUCUUCGCUCGCCGACUUCUUCUCCGUCGUUUACUUUGCUCGCCUUCGCCGACUUCUUAUCUCUCUCUUCGAAAUUUAAAUUAGGGUUUCUUGAUAUUAAUUAGGGCCUUUCAUUUUAAUUGUGCUGUGUGGUUGUGAGGACGUGGGGAUGGGAGGUGGUGGUGUACAGAGAUAGAAGAAGAGAGUUUUUUUACUUUUUGGUAGUUCAGAGAGGGGAAUGCGAGAGAGAGAGAGGUGGUGAGAGUUUCUUUUUCUUUUUUCAAUUUAUUUUUUAUUUUUUAUUUGAUAUUUAUCUAUAUAUCUAUAUA
rnacentral:lncRNA from 1 species